GGUCUCGUAGCUCAAUUGGUUAGAGCGUCGUACUAAUAUUAGGCUUGAUAGAAAUAUUACGUAAAUGCGAAGGCUGAGAGUUCAAUUCUCUCCAGGACCA